rnacentral:other from 1 species
CGGUCCCCGUAAGUUGACGGUUUCUUCGGAUCGCGCUUGAGCCAACAGCUCGUUCCAGGGAGCCUGGACUCCGCUGGCAGUGCGCAAGCUCGCUCUUCGCAGCGGGAAGCCUAAACCAGCGGGAGGGCACCCACUUGGUUGACCCGGCAUCAACCCGUCAUUUGAAGGGCCGUGUCGGGGACCUC